rnacentral:rRNA from 1 species
AGUGGAUGGGGAGCAACCUAGUUGUGCGUGUGUAAAGGUAGUGCCAAGAAAAGCGAUGAUCAUGUUGAAAAUCAAUUCCCGGUACCCGAAACCGACACAGGUGGGCAAGUAGAGAAUACUAAGGGGCGCGAGGUAACUCUCUCCAAGGAACUCGGCAAAAUGACCCCGUAACUUAGGGAGAAGGGGUGCCACCGAGAGGUGGUCGCAGUGAAGAGGCCCAGGCGACUGUUUAGCAAAAACAUAGGUCUCUGCAAACUCGAAAGAGGAGGUAUAGGGGCUGACGCCUGCCCAGUGCCGGAAGGUUAAAGAAGUUGGUCAGUUUUAGGAUGAAGCUAGCGACUGAAGCCCCGGUGAACGGCGGCCGUAACUAUAACGGUCCUAAGGUAGCGAAAUUCCUUGUCGGGUAAGUUCCGACCCGCACGAAUGCGUAACGAUCUGGGCGCUGUCUCGGAGAGAGGCUCGGCGAAAUAGGAUUGUCUGUGAAGAUACGGACUACCUACAUUUGGACAGAAAGACCCUAUGAAGCUUUACUAUAGCUUGGAAUUGUGUUCGGGCUUCCUGUGCGCAGGAUAGGUGGGAGGCGUAGAAGGUAUUCUUGUGGGGAUACUGGAGCCAACGGUGAGAUACCACUCUCAGGAGGCUAGAAUUCUAACUUAAUUAAGGACAGUUUCAGGUGGGUAGUUUGACUGGGGCGGUCGCCUCCAAAAAGGUAACGGAGGCGUACAAAGGUUCCCUCAGACUGGUUGGAAAUCAGUCGAAGAGUGCAAAGGCAGAAGGGAGCUUGACUGCGAGAAGUACAGUUCGAGCAGGGUGGAAACACGGUCUUAGUGAUCCGACGGUGCUGUGUGGAAGGGCCGUCGCUCAACGGAUAAAAGUUACUCUAAGGAUAACAGGCUGAUCUCCCCCAAGAGUUCACAUCGACGGGGAGGUUUGGCACCUCGAUGUCGGCUCAUCGCAACCUGGGGCGGAAGUACGUCCCAAGGGUUGGGCUGUUCGCCCAUUAAAGCGGUACGUGAGCUGGGUUCAGAACGUCGUGAGACAGUUCGGUCCAUAUCCGAUGUAGGCGUGAGAAUAUUGAGAGGAGCCUUCCUUAGUACGAGAGGACCGGGAAGGACGCACCGCUGGUGUACCUGUUAUGAUGCCAAUUGUAAACGCAGGGUAGCCAAGUGCGGAGAGGAUAACCGCUGAAAGCAUCUAAGUGGGAAGCCCACCUCAAGAUGAGUAUUCUGGUGUAAGGUCACGGGAAGACGACCCGUAAAUAGGCACGAGGUGGAAGUGCAGAGAUGUAUGAAGCCGAAGUGUACUAAUAGACCGUCGGCUU